AAGCAGAAUUCAACCUAACCUUCUUUACUGGUUUUGUCUGCCCAAACAGGCAGAGAAGAUGAAAUUGAAUGACCCAGCAGUUUGCUUUGUGCACCUGAGAUCCUGGCAUGUAGGCGGCUCUACAUCCUGUUGUAUACUCAGUCCAAGGCACACAGCCAGGCUCCGCAGCACGGAGGCAGCCACAGGCGAGCAGAGCAAGGGUGCAGAGGCCCUGCUGGACCCGGACCCCCGCAGACCUUCCCAAGCAAGGCUCAUCACGCCUCGGCUGCUUCCAGUCCCCCUAGAGGACUCCUUUCCCAGCUCCUCUCUCUCUUCUCAGAGUUGUUUUCCCAGAAUCCUAUGUUUCCAUUUAUAAUACGAAACUUGGGCUGGGCUUGUGGCUCAGUAGCAGAGCCCUCGCCUACCAUCUGUGAGGCUC
rnacentral:lncRNA from 1 species